UGAGGAAUUUUGCGCAAUGGACGAAAGUCUGACGCAGCAAUGCCGCGUGGAGGAUGACGGCCUUCGGGUUGUAAACUCCUUUUUUAUGGGAAGAUUAUGACGGUACCGUAAGAAUAAGGGCCUGCUAACUACGUGCCAGCAGCAGCGGUAAUACGUAGGGCCCGAGCGUUAUCCGGAUUCAUUGGGCGUAGAGCGCUCGUAGGCGGACCAGUAGGUCGAACAUUAAAGACUCCGGCUCAACCGGAGGAAGGUGUUCGAAACCGCUGACCUAGAGAGUGGUAGAGGCAGAUGGAAUUCUCGGUGUAGGGGUAAUAUCCGUAGAUAUCGAGAAGAACACCAAAGGCGAAGGCAGUCUGCUGGACCAUUUCUGACGCUAAGGAGCGAAAGCGUGGGGAGCGAACGGG
rnacentral:rRNA from 1 species